GCCAUGGGGUUGAUCUUCUCAAGCUAAGCUAAGCACCAAACUCCACUCGGUAGGUAGCUUCGUCUCCUGUGAGAAGGAAGAAUGGCGUCACUGAAGGCUGCGAGACCUGCUGGGAUUACGGCGCCGAGCAAAGAGCCGGCCAAGGUCGGAGAGGGCCCCGUGAAGCCGCCGGCGGCGUCGAGGCAGGCACCGAAAAAACCCGAGAAGCCCCGCGAGCCCAAGAAGAAGGCAAGGAGUGGCAAACCGAGCACCAAAAACUGAUGAUGGAUGGCAGCAACAACAACAACAAAAGUGUGUUUUAUCUUCAGAUUUCAGCGUUUGUGUUCUAUCACUGUACUCUGGAUGUUGCUGCUGUCGUGGUGUGAGCUUGUGAUGUGAACUGGUUGAAGUAUGCUUUGAUGUUGUGCUCAGCCAUGCAAGAAAGUAAUGUAGAAUCAUCACCAUGGUAUGAUGAAAUAAACUGCUAAUUUACUGCACA